rnacentral:rRNA from 1 species
UACAGAGGUCUCAAGCGUUGUUCGGAUUCAUUGGGCGUAAAGGGCGCGUAGGCUGCGGGGCAAGUCGGGUGUGAAAUCUCAGAGCUCAACUCUGAAACUGCACUCGAUACUGCUUUGCUCGAGGACUGGAGAGGAGAUUGGAAUUCACGGUGUAGCAGUGAAAUGCGUAGAUACCGUGAGGAAGACCAGUGGCGAAGGCGGAUCUCUGGACAGUUCCUGACGCUGAGGCGCGAAGGCCAGGGGAGCAAACGGG